AAUUUUUUUUGUUUUUUUUUUUACCACAAAUUAUGAUUUAUAAUGAACCUCUUGUUAAAUAUUCAAGCAUUUCUGUUUGGUCAAACAAUUGUAUCCACAGAGUAUUUACAGAAUAAAAAGACGUGCAUACUUCGAACGUAGAUAAGCCACUGUUGUAGGUGAGAGAUUGAGAAGGUACGAUGGAAAAUUUAAUGUAUGUAUGAACGCAACAAUUAACUUUUUUUAACUAAAAACGAUUCUGAGCGGAGUUCAAUUUAUAUUGUUGCUUUGCCA